GGCAGUGUGGUGUAGUGGUUAGAGUACCAGACUGCGUGAUCUGGGAUGGCAGGAUUCAAAUCCUCCCACUGGGCCA